GAGUCCACCUCUUGGACCUCAGCGCAGUGUGCAAGAAAGCGGAGGCUGUGAAGACCAAAGAAAGCAACCAGAAAGCUCAUAAAGUCCAAAACAUUUUCAUCAGCACCACUGAAUAAAGUACGAUAUUUCAGGAACAUCAGGCCAUUGCUCCAGAAAUGUAG